CGAAUGCUGACAUAAGUAACGAUAAAGCGGGUGAAAAGCCCGCUCGCCGGAAGACCAAGGGUUCCUGUCCAACGUUAAUCGGGGCAGGGUGAGUCGACCCCUAAGGCGAGGCCGAAAGGCGUAGUCGAUGGGAAACAGGUUAAUAUUCCUGUACUUGGUGUUACUGCGAAGGGGGGACGGAGAAGGCUAUGUUGGCCGGGCGACGGUUGUCCCGGUUUAAGCGUGUAGGCUGGUUUUCCAGGCAAAUCCGGAAAAUCAAGGCUGAGGCGUGAUGACGAGGCACUACGGUGCUGAAGCAACAAAUGCCCUGCUUCCAGGAAAAGCCUCUAAGCAUCAGGUAACAUUAAAUCGUACCCCAAACCGACACAGGUGGUCAGGUAGAGAAUACCAAGGCGCUUGAGAGAACUCGGGUGAAGGAACUAGGCAAAAUGGUGCCGUAACUUCGGGAGAAGGCACGCUGAUAUGUAGGUGAAGUCCCUCGCGGAUGGAGCUGAAAUCAGUCGAAGAUACCAGCUGGCUGCAACUGUUUAUUAAAAACACAGCACUGUGCAAACACGAAAGUGGACGUAUACGGUGUGACGCCUGCCCGGUGCCGGA
rnacentral:rRNA from 1 species